AGCAACGUAGCUCAGUUGGUUAGAGCACGGCAUUCAUAAUGCUGGGGUCGGUGGUUCAAGUCCACUCGUUGCUACCA
rnacentral:tRNA from 2 species